ACAUGCAAGUCGAACGAGAUCUUCGGAUCUAGUGGCGCACGGGUGCGUAACGCGUGGGAAUCUGCCCUUAGGUACGGAAUAACUCACCGAAAGGUGUGCUAAUACCGUAUGAUGUCUUCGGACCAAAGAUUUAUCGCCUAAGGAUGAGCCCGCGUUGGAUUAGCUUGUUGGUGAGGUAAAAGCUCACCAAGGCGACGAUCCAUAGCUGGUCUGAGAGGAUGAUCAGCCACACUGGGACUGAGACACGGCCCAGACUCC
rnacentral:rRNA from 1 species